CUGCUUGUGGAGAAGAGAUAGCAUGCUUGGAGUCACGUGGUUAAGAUUAGUACUAAUUUUGUAUUUGACUUUUGGUUCUAAAUAAAGCAUACAACAGAACAGAAACAAUAAAAAAAUGAUAAAUACAGAUAAAUGCUAUAAUUAUAAGGCAAAGUCUUCCCAGAAGAAGUAAUUAAUUGCAAAGCAAAGUGGUUUGAGUUUUUCCCCUUUCUCUUUAAGUUCCCACAAGAGACUAUAACAUGCUUCAAAACCCUCCGAUGUAUGAGCUUCAGAGAAAAGAAGAAAAAAGGAGAAAAAAAAAUCUCCUGGACAAUGCAGUUCAUAUCAAGCACCUAGGACAAUUUCUGGCACCAAAAAGAUGCUCAGUGGAAAUUGAAUUGCCCCUUUCUGUAAUGAUUGGCAGUGUUUCCUAUGCCCUCCAGUAUCCCUAAACAAAGCAGGUUUGUCAAUUUCGAGGUCUGAGUAAUGCCAAAAAAGACAAAUCUCUCUGCGUGGGAAAAAAGUCAUGGCCUUCAUUUGCAAGUAAUUUGUAAUGAAUUCUCUAAAAACAUAUGCUUUUAAGGAUUUGAGCUGAUUUUAAAUUGUGAAGUGGUUAAACCUCUCAAAGCUGUCUUUUCUUCAUUGUUUGAAAGAUGAUUGUGGACUGAAUGAUAAUGAGUGUCAUUGAAAACCAAAUACAUGAGGGAACUCAGGGAAACCACACUUAUAUGAGAAAAUCAGCAUCUAGUCCGGGGCGCACACAGGCUACUCUGUAAGGUGUUCAGUCGCCGAUUCCACACGAGUUGACCAACCCACGGGCGCACAGCAGUCUGCACCCAGCACUGGAGGUAGGUGAGUCGAGUAUGAGAUGAAAUGAGUUCAGUUCCCAGUGGAAAGGUAAGACACACACUCUAAGUCACCAGAGUUCUAGUCCAAGGUCAACAGAAGUCCUGUAAUGAGGAUUCACGGUGCAACAUGUGAUUCAGACCAGAGGAGAGGUACGGCAGUAGGUUCUUUGAGUUAGGCAAGGAGGAAGGCUCUGUGGUCUGCAAAAACCAGGGAAGCCUUCCUACAGGAGGUGGGAGCUUGGGCUGAACUCUUGGUAUGUACAGCCCCAGAAAAAAUGUGUGAAAGACAAGAGUGACUAGGGUCAUGAGAGGGAGUCGCUGCUUCACGAUGGGAACAGGCAGAAAUGUGUUCUGCCCUUAGGACACCCUCCCCCCAUUGCUUAGUGUUCUCAUGCUAUGGUUUGAUAAAAAUGGUAGCUAGGACCCCGACUUCUCAGGGAGGAAGGCUUGGAUCACUGCUAACACCGAAACAUCAGCCAAUGCCAAGGGAUGUUCUGAAAGAACGGUAGAGAUGGACAUGGUGAGCGUAACGUAGACUUUAGGACCAGAUGCAAUGUCAGGAAAUUGAUCUAUUGCACCGACUUUCCUUCUGUGAGUUUCCCCUCAGACACUGUGACCUCCCAAAUGGGAGAAACUAUGACAGGCAGAGUGAACUUGAGGUGCCCCACCUGGACUACUUCCGGGCAGCCAUUUCCAACGUCUGCAGGGGUUUCUGGAAUACAUUAGCCCCUCACCUUUGUCUUAGCACCACCUUCAGGGUGGCAUUUAUACCUAGAGCUCCCUGCAACACAGGUCACAUCCUGGGGCACAGUCUUUCUUUCUGCCCCCUGGCCUCCCCUUCUUCCUAUCUGCCCUUCUGGUUUCUCGUAGGUGUGUUUUCUUAGUCCAUUACCUGUAUCUGUGCUUCAGGGUCUGCUUCUGGACCCAGGAGAAAGGGCAUUUAAGGGAAGAGUUAAUGAGGUAUAAAGGGGAGAAUAAGCAUGGAUGGUUUGCAUGAAGUGAUCCAGCUCAUUUAACUAGACAAGGAGUGACUGCAAAAUCCUGGAAGAGAGCUUGGAGACCCAGUUAUUGCAUGGCACUUUUCAGGAAUGUAAAGAUGCUAAAUAGAUUCAUAUUUCUUUCCCACCUGUCAGCUCAGACAGCAUAUUACAGAUUCAACUUCCUAGAUUGAGUCUGUGUUCCAGGGAUGCCUCACACAGUGUAGACCUCAACUCCACCACGUGUAGGGCAGGCAGCCUUGCCCAGUUUCACCUCCAUUUCUCCUCAGCGGUCAGUGGGCCAGGGAACUGCUCUUUGCUAUAAUAACCCAUAGGGGAUUUUUGUUGUUGUUGUUAGUUAAUUAAACAUGACAGUAGAAUGGAUUUUUAAAAAUUCUAAUUUGUUAUGUAUGACAGCAGAAUGCAUUACAAUUCAUAGUACACAUAUAGAGCACACGUUUUCACAUAUCUGGUUGCACACAGAGUAGACUCACACCAUUCGUGUCUUAAAACAUGUACUUAGGGUAAUGAUGUCCAUCUCAUUCCACCGUCUUUCCUACCCCCAUGCCCCUUCCCUUCCCCUCCCUCCCCUUUACUCUAUCUAGAGUUCAUCUAAUCCACCCAUGCUCCUCCCCACUAACCCCAUUAUGAAUCAGCAUCCUUGUAUCAGAAAAAAAAAAACAACAUUCUGCAUUUGUUUUUUUGGAGACUGGCUAACUUCACUUAGCAUUACAUUCUCCAGUCCCAUCCAUUUACCUGCAGAUGCCAUGAUUUUAUUCUCUUUUAAUGCUGAAUAGUAUUCCAUUGUGUAUAUAUACCACAUUUUCAUUAUCCAUUCAUCUACCGAAGGACAUCUAUGUUAGAUCCAAAGUUUAAGUAUUGUGAAUUGUGCUGCUAUAAACAUUGAUGUAGCUAUGUCCCUGUAGUAUGCUGUUCUUAAGUCUUUUGGAUAUAGACAGAGGAGAGGGAUAGCUGGCUCAAAUGGUCGUUCCAUUCCCAGUUUUCCAAGGAAUAUCCAUACUGCUUUCCAUAUUGGCUGCACCAAUUUGCAGUCCCACUAAUAAUGUAGAGGAUGACAUACAAUUAAUCAACAAAUAUAUGAAAAAAAUGUUCAACAUCUCUAGCAAUUAGAGAAAUGCAAAUCAAAAGUACUCUAAGAUUUCAUCUCACUCCAGUCAGAAUGGCAGCUAUUAAGAAUACAAACAACAAUAAGUGUUGACGAGGAAGUAGAAUGGAUUUUGACACAUCAUACACAAAUGGAGUAUAACUUCUCAUUUUUUUCUGACUGUACAUGAUGUAGAAUCACACCACUUGUGUAAUCAUAUGUGUACAUAGGAUAAUAAUGUCUGAUUCAUUUUACUAUCCUUUCUACUCCUAUACCACCCCGUCCCUUCACACCUCUCUGUCUAAUCCAAAGUACCUCUAUUUUUCUCUAGCCCCGCUGCCCACCUUAUUGUGAAAUAUCAUCUACAUAUCAGAGAAAACAUUUGGCCUUUGGUUUUUUUGGGUUGGCUUAUUUAACUUAGGAUAAUAUUCUCCAGCUCCAUCCAUUUACCUGCAAAUGCCAUAAUUUCAUCCCUCUUUAAGGCUGAGUAGUAUUCCAUUGUGUAUACAUACCAACAUAUUCUUUAUCCAUUCAUUUGUUAAAGGGCAUCUAGGUUGGUUCCACAGUUUGGCUCUUUUGAAUUGUGCUGCUAUAAACAUUGAUGUGGCUGCAUUACUAUAGUAUGCUGAUUUUGAGUCCUUUGGGUAUAAAACAAGUUGUGGGAUAGCUGGGUCAAAUGGUGGUUCCAUUCCUAGUUUUCCAAGGAAUCUCCAUACUGCUUUCCAUAUUGGCUGCACCAAUUUGCAGUUCUACCAGCAAUGUAUGAGUGUGCCUUUUUUGCCCACAUCUUCACCAACAUUGUUUGUAUUCUUGAUGAUUGCCAUUCUGACUAGAAUGACAUGGAAUCUCAGUAUAGUUUUGAUUUGCAUUUCUCUAAUGGCUUGAGAUUUUGAACAUUUUUUCAUGUAUCUGCAAUUCUUCUUCUGUGAAAUGCAUGUCCAGAUCUUUAACUCAUUUAUUGAUUGGGUUAUUUGUUUUUUUGGUGUUGAGUUUUUAGAGUUCUUCACAUAACUGGGGGAUUAAUGCUCUAUCUGAUGUGCAUGUGGUAAAGAUUUUUUCCCAUUCUGUAGGCUCUCUCUUCACAUUAUUAAUUGUUUCCUUUGCUGCGAGGAAUCUUUUUAGUUUAAAUCCAUCCCAUUUAUUGAUUCUUGAUUUUAGUUCUUGUGCUUUGGAGGUCUUGUUAAAGAAGUCAUUUCCUAAGCCAACAUGGUGAAGAUUUGGGCCUACUUUUUUCUAUUAGGGAUAGUGUCUCUGUUCAAAGGCCUAAGUCUUUGAUCCACUUGGGUUGACUUUUGUGUAAGGUGGAAUAUAUAGGGAUUUAAUUUCAUUUUGUUACAUGAGGAUUUCUAGUUUUCCCAGCACUCUUUGUUGAAGAGGCUGUCUUUUCUCAAUUUUUGGCACCUUUAUCUAGUAUGAGAUAACUGUAUUUAUGUGGAUUAGUCCCCGUGUCUUCUAUUCUAUACCAUUGGUUUAUGUGUCUGUCUUGGUCCCAGUACCAUGUCAUUUUUGUCACUGUGGCUCUGUAGUAUAGUUUAAGUUCUGGUAUUACCGUGCCUUUUGCCUCACUGUACUUGCUAAGGAUUGCUUUGGCUCUUCUGGGUCUCUUAUUUUUCCAAAUUAAUUUCAUGUUGCUUUUUCUAGUUCUAUGAAAAAUAUCAUUGGGAUUUUAAGAGGAAUUGCAUUAAAUCUGUAUAAUGCUUUUGGUAGUAUGACAAUUCGCCUAUACAAGUGCAUGGAAGAUCUUUCCCUUUUUUUUGAGGCUAUUGUGAAUGGGGUAGUUUUCCUAAUUUCUCUUUCAGAGGAUUCAUCACUGAUGUACAGAAAUGCAUUUGAUUUAUGGGUGUUGAUUUUAUAUCCUGCUAUUUUGCUGAAUUCAUUUAUUGUUUAUAGUUCUAGAAAUUUUCUGGUGGAAUUUUUUGGAUCUUCUAAAUAUAGAAUCAUGUCAUCAGCAAAUAAUGAUAGUUCAAAUCCUUUUUUUUUCUAUUUGUAUCCCUUUAAUUUCUUUCUUCUAAUUGCUCUGGCUAGAGAUUCCAGGACUAUGUGUAUUUUAAGUGGUGAAAGAGGGCAUCCCUGUCUUGUUCCAGUUUUUAGAAGGAAUGCUUUUAAUUAUUCUCCAUGUAGAAUGAUGAUGGCCUUGUGGUUAGCAUAGAUAGCUUUCUACAAUGUUGAGGUAUUCCUACUAUCCCUAGUUUUUCCUAGUGAUUUGAACAUGAAGACGUACUGCGUUUUGUCAAAUGCUUUUUGUGCAUCUAUUAAGAUAUCAUAUGAUUCUUG
rnacentral:lncRNA from 1 species